UGGCUUUCAAUCUUGCUACUUUUAUUUUGGCCACAUUAUAGCAUUUAUGUUUUUACACAGUCACCGAUAAUUUUAAUGUGGUAAAUCGGUAGAGGCCCUGCAACUAUUUCUAAAUGACCAGGCCUAAUUAAAAUGUAGAUAUGUAAGUAGUCUGGGUUAAACAGACUGCCUAGUAAACUUGACUCAUCCUUCAGAAAACCCAUCUCAACUAUCACUAUGUCUGUGAAGCCUGCCUUGACAUUCACAGGAAAGUGAUGCUUUUCCUCACAAGCAGAGCACCAACUCUUCAAGGGCAUUUUCUCCAAGUUCCAAGGUCCUUACACCCUCACCUCUUCUGUAGAUGGUAGCUGUCUCUUGCUGUUGUCUCUGGAUUAAUUUAGUGUUAAACACUGGCUCUUCUAGUCCUCUACUACCUCAGAAAGGAAUUCCCUGUGGUAAAUACCCUCUUUUUGGACUACCUAGUGUAGUCCACUGGACCCUAACUAAUGAGUACUUGGUAGCAGGGGAACUCCAAAGAAACAGACCCUCAGAGAUAGCGUAUUUCCAGCAAGGGACAUAACAGACUUUUAAGAAUAUGAGACGAACACCCGGCCCUUUGGGAUUCCUCAGGCUACAGAACCAGCAGGGAAAGAAGCGGUUACUCAACUAACUGAGGUAACUGAUCCCAAUUGCCAAGGAAAAAUUGACUGCUGCUACAGAAUGGGUUCAGAGAGGGCUGUAUUUGGAACCCAGGGAAUUCUCUGGGGGAUGCCUCCUGAUAUUCUUAUGAACAAAAAUAGACUGUGUAGUUGAGGGGCGCCUGGCUGUCUCAGCAGAGCAUGCAGCUCUUGAUUUCAGGGUUGUGAGUUUGGGCCCCUAUAUUCGGGUAGAGUUUACUUAAUAUAAAUAAAUCCAUAAAUAGCGCCCCGAACAUUAAGUUCUUAAGGAAUUGUGAUAUCAGUAGAAUAGGUCUUAAUAUCACUCAGAGAGAGAUACAGUUGCUGUUGGGACUGUGCUUUUCCCUUUUGGGGGAGAGGAGAAAAGUGCCUUCAUUUGUUUAUAAAGGAUAAUUCCAACUUAUUCAAUGGAACCUUGAAAAAUAGUUAUCGUUUUAUAGAAGUUCACACAUGUGUACUAAAAGCCGAAAGGAUGAGCUGGACUAUUUGAUCUCUCUCAACUCAAAAUUUGCCGCCUUUUUUUUUUUUUUUUAAUAUUUUUAUUUAUUUUUGAGAGCGUGCGUGCAUGAGUGGGGGAGGGGCAGAAAGAGAGAGGGAGACACAGAAUCUGAAACAGGCUCCGGGCUCAGAGCUGUGAGCACAGAGCCUGACGCAGGGCCCGAACUCGGAAACGGCGAGAUCAUGACCUGAGCCAAAGUGGAAUGCUUAACCGACUGCGCCACCCAGGCACCCCUCAAAACACCUUCUUAAACUCUGAUGCUGGGUCUCAGGUUUUACUAACCUCAUUCCUCAGGCUUUUGCUACACUGGAUUGUUAGAUUCUGCCUUCGUGGAGGAUGGAGGGGUGCAGGCGAGUCUGGGUUUUUAUCUAUCACCAUUGUUUCUGCAAAUAGUAGUUGUCUCCAGCAGCAGUGGUUGGCUCCAGGCUGCAGCAUUCUUGAUGUCUUUUGGCAUAACCAGAACCAGGCCCAUCACACUCCUCAGAAACAGCAGUGGCAGGGGUGGGAUGGCCAUUACCCUCAGAGGUCUCACUAGACAGCUCUGGAGGCUGAGUCUCUAAGAUAAGGUUCAGAUAACUUCACCUUUUGUAACCUCAGCCUUGGGAGUGGUAGCAUCCUCCUACAGUAUGAGUUGCAUCAGGGUUUUUACUUUUUCUGCCUUCCAUUCCCCAUGUAAUCAUUUCCCUGUAGUUAAUUUCUUGUUUGAAAUAUAUAAUGUGGUUUCCAUUUUCCUAAGUCCUAACUCACAGUGUAUAUUCUUAUUUCAUCAAGUAUAUUUUUGUGUCUUUAAGGAAUGUUUAAAAUUUUUCCAUUUCUUGGUUUUAAACACUUUUUAUGAAUUCCUGGGCAUUUUCUUUGUUGCUAUUAUAUAGUCUUCCAUAAUUUUUAAUGAACUGGUUGGUGUUUGCAUAAUUGCAUUGACUUAGAUUAUUUUUUUCCUAAUGCUGUAUUGAAUUCUGGUACUUGCAUACCUAGGAAACUUGAAUACCUAGUUGGUAGACCUAGGAAACUUUAAGAGAAUUGUAAGUCAAAUAGAAGUAGUUUAUUUAUAUCUCUUCCCUUUCAAUUCUUAACAUUUCUAAUUUAUUUCUCUUAAUUGUUUUGGCUGAUCCCUCCAGUACAUCCUUUCUUGUCCCUUGUCCCUGACAUGUCAUUGUUUCUCUGUUAAGUAAGGUACUAGCUUAGGAGUGAGAUAGAUAUGUUUUUUGGUGGGGGGGAGGGUGAGAUAAAUGUUUUUAUCAUAUCAAGGAAGUGUUCAUUGAUUCCUGUUUUGUUUUGUUGUCCUAAGAUUAGAUAUUGAAUCUUCCCAAAUAUCUAGCAUCUGUGGAAAAUGAUCAUGUAACUUUCCUUUUGGAUCUGUUAAUAGAAUGAGUUAUGUUAAUUGGUUGAUUACCCAAUUUUAAACCAUCUUUCCAUUCUUAGAGUAAGCCCUACUGAAUCAUGUUAUAUUAUUGUGUUCUGUUUGAUUCUGUUGCUAUUAUUUUAUUUAGGAUUUUUACUUCAAAAUUUAUAACUGGUAUGUGUGUGUGUGUGUGUGUGUGUGUAUACAGUCAUUUUACAUAAUGACUAUAUAGGCAUUUUAUAAAAAUAAUUUGAUAGUUGUCCAUUUUCUUUUUUCUCUGGAACAGCUUGAAUAGUUUGAAACUAUUUGUUCCUUACAAAUAUGAUACGAUUUAUUUGUGGGGCCUCAUUUAUUUUUCAGGUAGCUCUUUCAUGACCUUGUUUCUUCUACAGAGUGGAUUUGUUUAGGUUUUUAAAAAUCUUUUCUGGGAUCAGUUUUGAUAAAUUUAUUUUCAGAGAAAAAUUACCCACUGCUUUCAGUUUUUCAAACAUUAUUUGCAUAAAGUUAUACAAAAAAAUCUCUUAGUGAUUUUUUUCAGGUGUACAACAUAAUUUCAUAUAUGUAUAUUUUGUGAAAUGAUCACUAUAGUAAGUGUAAUUAUUAGUCAACCUUCAUCACUACACAGUUAAUAGAUUUUUUUUCUUAUGAGAACUUUUAAGAUCUACUCUCUUAGCAACUUUCAAAUAUACAAUACAGUAUUGUUAACUGUAGUCAUCAUCUAUACAUUACAUCCCCAGAACUUACUUAUUUUAUAAUUAGAAGUUUGUACCUUUUGAUCACCUUGACCCAUUUUACUUGCCCCUACUCCGUUUCUUGGCAACUACCAAUCUGUUCUGUUUAUGAGUUCAUUUUUUGUUUUUGUUGUUUUUAGAUUCCACAUAUAAGUGAGAUAAUACACUAUUUGUCUUUCUCUAACUUAUUUCACUUAACAUAAUGCUAUCAAGAUCUAUCCAUAUUGUUGCACAUGUCAGGAUUUUCUUUUUUAAUAAUUUUUAAAAUGCUUAUUUAUUUUCGAGAGAGAGAGGGACAGAGCACAAGCAGGGGAGGGGCAGAUAAAGAGGGAGACACAGAAUCUUAAGCAGGCACCAGGCUCUGAGCUGUCAGCCCAGAGCCUGAUGCAGGGCUUGAAUUCAUGAAUCAUGAGAUGACCUGAGCUGAAGCUGGACGCUUAACUGACUGAGCCACUCAGGCACCUCAGGAUUUCCUUUAAUGGCUGAGUUUACACACACACACACACACACACACACACACACACACACUCACACACACACACACACACACACACACACACACAAUUUCUUUAUCCAUUGAUGGACACUUGGGUUAUUUCCAUGUCUUGGCUAUUCUAAACAAUGCUGCAGUGAAAAUGGGGGUGUGGAUAUGUUUUUGAAUUAAGAGUUUUUGUUCCCUUCAAAACAAAAGUGGAAUUACUGGUAAUCAUAUGUUAGUUGUAAUUUACAUUUUUUUGAGGUCCCUCCACACUGUUUUCCACAGUGGCUGCACCAGUUUUCAUUCCCACCAACAGUACAAAAGGGUUCCCUUUUCUCCACACCCUUGCCAACCCUUGUUAUUGUUUGUCUUUUUGAUGACAGCCAUUUUAACAGGUGUGAUGUAAUAUCUCGUGGUUUUGACUGGCAUUUCCCUGAUGAGUGAUGCUGAGCACCUUUUCAUGUACCUGUUGACCAUCUGUAUGUCUUUGGACAAUGUCAAUUCAGAUCCUCUGCUCACUUUUUAUGGUAUUGUUUGGUUUUUUUGUUUGUUUUGUUAAUUGAGUUGUAGGAGUUCUUUAUGUAUUUUGGAUAUUAACUCCUUAUCAGAUAUAUAAUUUGUAAAUAUUUUCUUCUAUUCACUAUGUUGCCUUUUCAUUUUGUUGGUUGUUUACUUUGCUGUACAGAAGCUUUUUAGCUUUAUGUAUUCCAAUUUGUUGUAUUUUUGCUUUUGCGGCCUUUGGUUUUGGUGUCAGAUCCAAAAAAUCAUUGCUGAGACUGAGGACAAGGAACAUACUGCCUAAGUUUUCUUUUAAGUGUUUUAUCAUUUUGGGUGUUCAUGUUCAAGUAUUUAAUCCAUUUUGUGUUAAUUUUGUGUAAAUUAUAUGGAAGAUACUGGUCCAGCUUUGCUCUUUUGCAUGUGGCUCUCUAGUUUCCCCAGCAGCAUUUAUUGCAGAGACUAUCCCUUUCCCACUGUAUGUUCUUGGCUCUUUUGUCAUAAAUUAAUUGGCCAUAUGUGGGAAGGUUUAUUUCCAGGCUAUUUUAUUCCAUUGGUUUCUGUGUCUCUUUUUAUGCUAAUACCAUAUUAUUUGGAUUGCUAUAGUUUUGUAAUAUAGUUUGAAAUCAGGGUGUGUUAUGCCUCCAAGUUUCUUCUUUCUUCAGUUAUUCUUUCCCAAGGCUGCUUUGGCCAUUUGGGGUCUUUUGCGGUUCCAUACAUAUUUUAGGACUUUUUGUUUUAUUUCUGUGCAAAAUGCCAUUGGAGUUUUGUGAGGCAUUGCAUUGAAUCUGUACAUUGGCUCUGGGUAGUAUGAACAUUUUAACAAUACUAAUUCUGCUAAUCCAUGAGCCUGGAAUACCUUUCCAUUUGUUUGUGUCUUCUUCAAUUUCUUUCAGUGAUAUUUUAAAAAUUAAUUUUAAGAGAAAGUGAGAGAGAGUGUGUGAGUGGGAGAGGGGCAGAGAGAGGGAGAGGGAGACUCCCAAGCAGGCUCCGUGCUGUCAGUGCAGAGCCCGAUGUGGGGUUUGAACCCCUAAAGAUCACGACCUGAGCUGAAGUCAAGAGUCAGAUACUCAACCAACUGAGUCACUCAGGUGCCCCUCAUUGAUAUUUUUUUAGAUUCCUUAUUUCUUCAUUAUUUCUCCCAUUGUAACUUCUUACUUUGUAUGUUUAUACUUUCUCUCUUUUAUUCCAUUUGUUGGCUAAUGGUUUCUUUCCACUGAUUUAUUUUUUUCCCCCUACGGAUCUUUUCAAGGAACCAGCCUUUUUAUUUAUUUAUACAGCUUUGUGUUUGCCACUCACUAAUUCUGUUUUCAUCUUUAUUUCUUAUUUGUUGUUUUCCUAUUUAUUGUUCUUUUCCAACUUUUUGAGUUACAUGCUAAAAUCAAUUUCUUUUCAGUCUUGGUUUUUGUUGAUAAAUUUAAGGCUACUGAUUUUCCUCUGGCAUUUGACUUUAAUCUCAUAGAUUCUCCUAUAUACUGUUUUUAUUGUUUUUAUAAGAAUUCUACGGUUUCAUUUUGUAGUUCCCAUUUGAUUCAAGAAUUAAUAGUUUAAAAUCUUGGUUAAGUAAUGUUUUUAUUUUCUGAUUUCCUUAGAACAUUUUUAUUAUGUUGCUUUCAGAUAAUUUUUUCUGUAUUAACCAGUUUUUGGAAUUUAUUGAGGCUGUUUGUGCUCCAGUAUGUGAUCAUUUUUCAUGAAUGGGUUUUUAAAAAGCAGAUGUAUAUUCUUACAGAGUUAAAUAUAUAUAACUGUAAGAUCACCUUAUUCAUUUUGUUUGAGUUUUAUCCUCUUAUUUUUCCUUAUUUAUCCCUUUAUUUAAAAAAUAAUUCUUUUUUUAAGAGAAUUUUUAAGAAAGAGUGUGUUGAGUAGGGGGAGGGGCAGGGAGAGAGAGAAUCCCAUGCAGCCUCUUUGCUGCCCGUGUAGAGCCCUACAUAGGUAGGCUCAGUUUCACGAAUGAUGAGAUCAUGACCUCAGCCGAUACCAGGAGUCAAAUGCUCAACCAACUGAGCCACCCAGAUACCCCUGUUUCUCCUUUUGUAAGUUUAGUAGUCCAUACCUUAUGGAAGUUGAUGUUAUAUUAUUUGGUGCAUGGAUAACCAUAACUAUUAAAAUUGAUGUUAUCAUUAUAAAGUGGCCUUCAUCUCAUUUACAGCUUUAUGUCUAGGAUUCUACAUUGACUUAUAUUCAGUUGUGUCCUCUGAUAUCUUUUGCUUGUCUAUUAAAAAUUUUUUUUAAUGUUUAUUUUUGAGAGACAUAGCAUGGGCGGGGGAGGGGUAGAGAGACAGAGGGAGACACAGAAUCCAAAGCAGGCUCCAGGCUCUGAGCUGUUAGUACAGAGCCCAACACAGGGCUUGAACUUACAAACUCUGAGAUCAUGACCUGAGCCACAGCUGGAUGCUUAACUGACUGAGCCACCCAGGCGUACCCCAUCUUUUGCUUGCCUAUUUAGACCUUUGCCUAUGGUUUUAUAUUGAAUUUCUCUGAGUCACUUUGUUUUAUGUAUAUAUUUUAGGAUAUAGCAUAGAACUGGGUGUUGCUUUGUGAUUCAAUCUGAAAAUGUUUUUCUUUUUAAGUACAUUAAACUUAGUUGCUUUUACUGAUAUGUCAGACAUACCUGGUCACAGUUACAUCAUACCGUUUUAUGUUACAUUUUAUUUUAUUUUAUUUUUUAUUUAUUUACUUAUUUUUUUAAAUUUUCAUUUAUUUUUGAGACAGAGACAGAGCAUGAAAGGGGGGAGGGUCAGAGAGAGAGGGAGACACAGAAUCCAAGCAGGCUCCAGGCUCCAGGCUCCGAGCUGUCAGCAGAGCCCGACGCGGGGCUCGAACUCACAAACUGUGAGAUCAUGACCUGAGCCAAAGUCAGAUGCUUAACCGACUAAGCCACCCAGGUGCCCCUAUGUUACAUUUUAAAUUUUUUACCAUGUGUUAUAUUUUAUUUUCAUUUUUGUUUUGAUUAUUCUGCUCUUAGGAAUGUACAUAUUUUUAUUUUCAUGGUUUGUUUUUAUUCUUUCUUUCUUUCUUUUUUUUUUUAAUACUACCCGAGUCCUCUUUUUCCUGCUUUGGUUCCCUCAACUAGAAAUCAAAUUCAACAAGAAAAUUAGCUUGUAGUUCCAACUAUAUUUAAAUCUUAUUACCACAUUUCGUUGUAUCUGAGAGAUGGAGUCUACUGUUAGACACACCAUUAUUUAUGUACCACUUAGGAAAGAAAGGCUGCCAAUUACAAUGUGAUACACUAUCAACCAUAAGACAUAUCUUGAUUUUAGAGAUGUUAAAAUGUGAAAAGAAAAUAUGUUUUAAAGUCCAUGAAAUAGUAUCUUAUUGUUUAUUACAGUAUUUUUAAAUAUGCUAAAAUUUAUUCUUAUUGGUUAUUAACUCUAAAUGAUAAUUCUCUUUUUAAAAAUUUUGUUUAUUUAUUUUGAGAUAGAGAAAGAGUGUGAGCAAGGGCAGGGCAGAGAGAGAGAGGGAGAUGGAGAAUCUCAAGUAGGCUCCACGCUCACUGGGGAGCCCGAUGUGGGUCUCCAUCUCAUGACCAUGAGAUCAUGACCUGAGCUGAAAUCAAGAGUCAGACGCUUAACUGAUGGAGCCACCCAGGCGUUCCUACAUGAAUUCUUUAACUUUGAGCUAUUGUAUAUGAACCACUCCAUCAGUGUUUUCUACUUUAUACCUUCUCUCUCCCUUCUUCCUUUUUGCAAAAUUUCUCCGAUCAUCUUUUGGUUGGCUGAAACUGAUAUUCUUAUAGAACCCUCAGGAAUACAACAUUAUUCUGAGUUGUUGCACGUUGAAAACUCUUUGAGCCUGUACGUUGGAAACACAGUUGUGCUCCAAAUAAAUAUGCUUGGCUUACAUUUUCUUUCCUUGCAUGUAUUGUGGGUACUGUUCUGUCGACGUAUGGUGUUGAAUGUUGUCAUGCUAACCUGGUUUUCCUUUUCUUGGAAGUCCAGAUUUUUUUUUUUAACGUGUAUUUAUUUUUGAGACAGAGAGAGACAGAGCAUGAAUGGGGGAGGGGCAGAGAGAGAGGGAGACACAGAAUCGGAAACAGGCUCCAGGCUCUGAGCGGUCAGCCCAGAGUCCAACGCGAGGCUCAAACUCACGGAUCGCGAGAUCGUGACCUGAGCUGAAGUCGGACGCUUAACCGACUGAGCCACCCAGGCGCCCCUUGGAAGUCCAGGUUUUACCUGGAUGAGUCUCAUGUUCAUUCGAGGUGAUUUCCCACAGGUACACAGUAUGUCUUUCAAUUUACAUCAUCUUUUAUUUCAGAAAUGGUUUACUGAAUUAUAAUUUUGUUUUUAAAAGAAUCUCACAAUUAGGGGAAAGUUACAAAAACUUUUUCUUUCCUUUGAAGUAUUUGAAGUUGCCAACAUGAAUGCCCCAGUGUCCCUGAUCACAUCAAUCUGUAUUUCCUGCUUACAAGGACGUUUUCCUUUAUAAUCGCAGCACAACCAUCAGAGUCAGAAGAUUGAUACUGAUAGAUGAUUAUCUUGUAGUGCUGAGUCCCCCCAUUCAAAUUUGCCACUUGUCCAGGAUUAGGCACUGUAUUUACUUGUCUGUCUUUUAAUCUCAUUCAUUCUGGUAUCGUUCCUCUGCUUUCCCAUGGCUUGUCAUGUUGACCAUGACACUUUUAAAGAAUACAGGCCAGUUAUCUUGCAGAACGUCCCUCAGUUUCGUGUGAUACUUUGUCAUGUUCUACAUUUUUGGCAGAAAUGGUACAGAAGUGAUGCUGUUGUCUCUUAGCAUCUUAUUGGCUGGUGUAUGGUUUCAGUUUUUCCCCAUACUGAUUAAGGCAGUAUCUGCCAGAUUCCUUCACCCUGACAUAUUCUUUUUCUUUUGGUAAGUAAUAUGUAUUUUGUGGAGAGGUAUGGAAAAAUUCCAUUCUCCCUCUGAUUUUUAUCCAUGUAUAUGUUUAGAUGAGUAUGAACUCAUGGAAUCCUUUGUUAUUCAAUGGGCUAUACAUUAUUAUUCAUUAUAGCGCUUAAAUAUUUCCAGAUUUGGCCAGUGGGAGCCCCUCAAACCUGACUCUUGUGUUCUUUGAACAGAUCUUCAUUAUUCUUACAGCACUUUCACUUUCUGGCUCAACAAGAUAUUCUAGAUUCAUGUUGUAUCUUCCAACCCUAGAAUUAACCGUAUCUCCAAGGGGCCCUCAUUCCUUUUAGAAGAGAAUGGUAUUUGGAAACCAAGAUCUAGAUUUACUUCUAGAUUUCUCAGUGGACAGAUAGAGCUAUAGAACACACACACACACACAGAGACACACACAGACACACACACCUGUAAUUCUAAUCCAACACCACAAGGUUCAUUUUAACCCUCAACCUUUCCCUUUUGUAACUCUCUUAUCUCACAAUGAGAAACCUCACUCCAGUGUAUGUACAGCUGACAGCUGCACAAUGCAGGGGUCAGGGGUGCUGACCCCAGUGCAGGUGAAAAUGCAUGUGUAACUUUCAACUCCCUAAAAACUUAACAACUAAUAGCCUACCAUUGAUUGAAGUCUUAACUGAUCCCAUAAACAGUCGAUUAAAACAUAUUCUGUAUAUAUAUUAUAUACUAUGUUGUUACAGUAGAGUAAGCUAGAGAAAACAAAAUGUUACUGAGAAAAAUCAUAAGGCAGAGAAAAUACACUCACAGGAAGUACUGUACCAUAUUUAUGGAAAAAAAACCUCACAUAUAACUGGACUUGUGAAGUUCAAACCUGUGUUGUUCAAAAACAUGGUCCUUGAGUAACACAAGUUUGAACUGUGUGGGCCUACUUAUACAUGGAUUUUUUUCCUGUACUGUAAACAUAACCCCUGCAUUGUUCAAGGUUCAACUGUAUAAAACAUGAAUGAUGAUUACAAGAGAAAAAUUAUCAUCUCAAAAGAGUAUACUCACUAAACCCUGCGUGAUAAUCCCACAGUGACUGUACAGCUGUAGGACCAAAGUAUCUGUCUGAGAGCACCAAUAAAAGAAGUAGCACAUAGGGGUGCCUGGGUGGCUCAGUCGGUUAAGUGGCCAACUUUGGGUCAGGCAUGAUCUUGUGGUUCAUGAGUUCAAGCCCUGCGUUGGGCUCUGUGCUGAUAACUCAGAGCCUGGAGCCUGCUUCGGAUUCUGUGUCUCCUUCCCGCCCCCACCCCACCCCGCCCCUACCUCAUCUCUCUCUCUCUCUCAAAAAUAAAUAAACAUUUAAAAAAAAGAGGUAGCAUGUAGAAUUGAAAUAAUUUGUUAUAAACAACAACAGCUAGAUUUGGGGAGAAAUUUUCGGAGUUGGCAAUUAGUGCUGUAAAGAAAGCAAAUAAUUUCAAUACUUAAUCAGAACUUUUUUUUUUUGUAAGCACAUUUCUAAUAAAGCUAUCUUUACGAGAAAGUUAAAAUCUUACAUUUUCAUCAAAGUCUUCUCUUCUGGCUUGCUCAGCCAAAUCGCCUUUCAUACUAAGAAUAUAAAAUAAAAUAAAGAUCAGAGACCUAUGACAGUAGAAAGGGAAAAUAAAGUAUGAUCAGCUCUAUAGUAAGGAUCUGAAUUGCAUUUCUGGUCUUUCUGAUAACACUCAUUAUUUGGAAAGUGUCAUUAAUAGAAAUUCUCCAGAGUGUCACAUCUCUAGCUAUAAAAUAAUGUUUGUAGUCUGUGCCACUGCCAGAGGUCUGGGUUUGGGAAGCAUUUGGACACCAAAGUGAUUGAAUAAAUAAAUGUAAGUGUAUCCUUAAAUAUUUUGUGUAAAAAUGUUUUUAUUUUCAUAGCUAAGUGAAUGCACUUAAUGUAGACUAACAGUUUUUCUUCCCUUCUCAGGGGGACUUUAUUCUCCUGUUCAGCUUUCUGUUAAAGUUCUUUCUGAGUGGCACAGCACGCUUUAUAUUAAUUUUUCAUUAGCUGAGCUUGGAGCCUCCUGGCGCUCUCAGAAUUAGGAGGCCCUAGUGGAUGAUGUAUUGACAACAUAUUUAGAAUAAGCACUUGGGGUGGUGGCUGUUUUACAAUCAAAACCUUACUCUCAUUGCAAGUUUCUCAUAUAAUGUACAGUUUUAAAUGGCAAAUUAAAAUUUUAAGCCAUCUUACCCUUUAUCGUCUUCAUCCUUUUGAGGUUUCUUUAGUCUAAGUUUUUCAAGAGCAUUGUUGUAACUCUGGACAUAAUUAAAAAUAGUUUAAAAGUUCAUCAAAAAUACAUCCUGUAUUAAUUAAAAAAUUUUUUUAAAUGUUUAUUUAUUUUUGAGAGAGACAGAGACAGAAUGUGAGUGGGUUAGGGGCAGAGAGAGGGGGAGAGACAGAAUUCGAAGCAGGCUCUAGGCUCUGAGUUGUUAGCAUAGAGCCCGACGUGGGGCUCGAACUCACGAGCUGUGAGAUCAUGACCUGAGCCGAAGUCGGACGCUCAACUGACUGAGCCACCCAGGCACCCCUAUGUGCUACUUCCUGUCUCUUGAUUUCAGCUCAGGUCAUGAUCUCAUGGUUGGUGAGUUUGAAACCCCAUGCUGGGCUCUGCGCUGACAGCACAGAGCCAGCUUGGGAUUCUCUGUCCCCUCCCUCUCUGUCCCUCCCCCACUCAUGCGUGCGCACUCUAUCUCUCUCAAAAUAAAUAAACUUUAAAAGAAAUACGGAGGGAAUGCUAUGAUUUCUUUCACUUUGUCACCACUUAUGUUUUCUGCCUACUGGUGAAAAAGAGAAAGGGGUUCUCUUGUGGGCAUCACACUUGAACUUGAAAAAAAAAUCUUUAAAAAGUUUUAUUAACAUGUAUUGCAUUUAAUGAUGUAAACACUUUAAUGCACAUAACCAACAUCAUAGUGAAGAGAUAAAAGAUGAAAAAACCUACAAUUAAGCUCACUGGGGGACAUAUUAAUGGUUUCCUUUUACAGAUACGUUGUUGGACCGAGUUUUGAAACUCCACUAGCCUCAUGGCCAUUAGGACUUUUUCUGUGUGAAGUGAUGUGGUUAGAGCCAUGGAUGUGCAGAGAUGAGCAAGAUUGUACACCUGUGACUACUAACCAUGCAAGUGAGGUAGGUGUUGAGAGGACAGGGGCGAUACCACUGUCAGGGAGAAUAGUAUGUCAGGGAGGGAUUGGAGGGGGGCGGCAGGUGACCUGAGCAGAGGCCCAGAGGGGAGAGCCAGUGAUGGUAAACAACACUGUGUGGGGUGCGUGGGUGGCUCAGUCAGUUAAGGGUCGGACCUCGGCUCAGGUCAGGAUCUCAUGGUUCGUGAGUUUGAGCCCUGCAUUGGGCUCUCUGCUGACAGCUCAGAGCCUAGAGCCUGCUUUGGAUUCUGUGUAUCCCUCUCUCUCUGCCCCACCCCUGCUUGCACUCUGUCUCUGUCUCUCAAAAAUGAAUAAACGU